CAGCUUCUCCCAGUGGGGCAGGAUGUCCAGGAGGGUCACGCCUUCAGCUCUUACCCGGGGCUGCCCAUUGAGCUCAUACACUCUGCCAGGCUGGAGGAAGGCCUUCAGGGAUGUGUGGGGCCCUUAAAGGCUCACCUUCUACCUUCCAGAUCGCUCGCUCAGGCCAGAACCAACAGCACACAGAAUUCCAUCCCUGCACCUCUUCCCUUCUCCCAGCGCUGCAGACAUCCCUCUCAUCGGAAAACCGGGCUCAGAGGAGCAAGCAAUCAGCAAAGAACUCUGGCUGAAUUAAUGGCGGCUUCCAGAAGCUCCUGCUCCUCUGACAGCUGUCGCUCGGGCAGCCUGGAGACGAAUUGUCCUUCUUCCUGGUGCCAGAGGACGCAGGAUAUUAGCCAGGUUGAGAGUUGCAAAGCGGCUGCCGCGGCGCCGGGAACUGGGCGCGCUCCAC